rnacentral:rRNA from 1 species
CCUACGGGAGGCUGCAGUGGGGAAUAUUGCGCAAUGGGCGAAAGCCUGACGCAGCGACGCCGCGUGAGGGAUGAAGGUCUUCGGAUCGUAAACCUCUGUCAGCAGGGAAGAACGGUCACUGUGCUAAUCAGCAGUGAAUUGACGGUACCUGCAAAGGAAGCACCGGCUAACUCCGUGCCAGCAGCCGCGGUAAUACGGAGGGUGCGAGCGUUAAUCGGAAUUACUGGGCGUAAAGCGCUCGUAGGCGGUAUGUCAAGUCAAUGGUGAAAUCCCCGGGCUCAACGUUGGAACUGCCUUUGAAACUGGCAGACUGGAGUGUGUGAGAGGAUAGUGGAAUUCCAGGUGUAGGAGUGAAAUCCGUAGAUAUCUGGAGGAACAUCAGUGGCGAAGGCGACUAUCUGGCACAUAACUGACGCUGAGGAGCGAAAGCGUGGGUAGCAAACAGGAUUAGAUACCCGAGUAGUC